rnacentral:rRNA from 1 species
UGGGGAAUAUUGCACAAUGGGGGAAACCCUGAUGCAGCAACGCCGCGUGAGUGAUGAAGGCCUUCGGGUUGUAAAGCUCUGUCUUCAGGGACGAUAAUGACGGUACCUGAGGAGGAAGCCACGGCUAACUACGUGCCAGCAGCCGCGGUAAUACGUAGGUGGCAAGCGUUGUCCGGAUUUACUGGGCGUAAAGGGAGCGUAGGCGGAUACUUAAGUGGGAUGUGAAAUACCUGGGCUUAACUUGGGUGCUGCAUUCCAAACUGGGUGUCUAGAGUGUUGGAGAGGAAAGUGGAAUUCCUAGUGUAGCGGUGAAAUGCGUAGAGAUUAGGAAGAACACCAGUGGCGAAGGCGACUUUCUGGACAAUAACUGACGCUGAGGCUCGAAAGCGUGGGGAGCAAACAGGAUUAGAUACCCUGGUAGUCCACGCCGUAAACGAUGGGUACUAGGUGUAGGGGGUAUCGACUCCCCCUGUGCCGCCGUUAACACAAUAAGUACCCCGCCUGGGGAGUACGGUCGCAAGAUUA